AACGCUAGCGGCAGGCUUAACACGAUGCAAGUCGAGGGGCAGCGCGGGUAGCAAGUAGUCUGGCGGCGACCGGCGGAAGGGUGCGUAACGCGUGAAGCAACAUGCCCGUCAUUGGGGGAUAGUCAUUGGAAACGAUGCGUAAUACCCCAUAACCACUGAAGCUGCAUGGCUUUAGUGUAAAAGAUACGUCGAUGACGGAUUGGCUCGCGUGGCAUUAGCCAGUUGGCGGGGUAACGGCCCACCAAAGCUACGAUGCCUAGGGGUUCUGAGAGGAAGACCCCCCACAUUGGGACUGAGACACGGCCCAAACUCCUACGGGAGGCAGCAGUGAGGAAUAUUGGUCAAUGGACGGAAGUCUGAACCAGCCAUGCCGCGUGAAGGAUGGCGGCCCUAUGGGUUGUAAACUUCUUUUGUGACAGAGCAAUAAGGUCUACGUGUAGACCGAUGAGAGUAUGCCACGAAUAAGCAUCGGCUAACUCCGUGCC
rnacentral:rRNA from 1 species